UACCGAGGGUGCAAGCGUUGUUCGGAAUCAUUGGGCGUAAAGCGCACGUAGGCGGACAUUUAAGUCAGGGGUGAAAUCCCGGGGCUCAACCCCGGAACGGCCUUUGAUACUGGGUGUCUUGAGUUCGGAAGAGGUGAGUGGAAUUGCGAGUGUAGAGGUGAAAUGCGUAGAUAUCGGGAGGAACACCGUUGGCGAAGGCGACUUUCUGGGCUGUUACUGACGCUGAGACGCGAAAGCCAGGGGAGCGAACAGG
rnacentral:rRNA from 1 species